GCGGGGAUAGCUCAGUUGGGAGAGCGUCAGACUGAAGUGACACUUCAUCAGUCUUAUCUGAAGGUCGUGUGUUCGAUCCACACUCACCGCA